CCUACGGGUUGCACCAGUGGGGAAUAUUGCACAAUGGGCGAAAGCCUGAUGCAGCGACGCCGCGUGAGGGAUGACGGCCUUCGGGUUGUAAACCUCUUUCAGCACGGAAGAAGCGAGAGUGACGGUACGUGCAGAAGAAGCGCCGGCUAACUACGUGCCAGCAGCCGCGGUAAUACGUAGGGCGCAAGCGUUGUCCGGAAUUAUUGGGCGUAAAGAGCCUGUAGGCGGUUUGUCGCGUCUGCUGUGAAAGCCCGGGGCUUAACCCCGGGUGUGCAGUGGGUACGGGCAGACUUGAGUGCAGUAGGGGAGACUGGAAUUCCUGGUGUAGCGGUGAAAUGCGCAGAUAUCAGGAGGAACACCGAUGGCGAAGGCAGGUCUCUGGGCUGUUACUGACGCUGAGGAGCGAAAGCAUGGGGAGCGAACAGGAUUAGAUACCCCGGUAGUC
rnacentral:rRNA from 1 species